rnacentral:rRNA from 1 species
CCUACGGGCGGCAGCAGUGAGGAAUAUUGGUCAAUGGGCGCGAGCCUGAACCAGCCAAGUCGCGUGAAGGAUGACUGCCCUGCGGGUUGUAAACCUCUUUUAUAAAGGAAUAAAGUGAGGCACGUGUGCCUGGUUGUGUGUACUUUAUGAAUAAGGAUCGGCUAACUCCGUGCCAGCAGCCGCGGUAAUACGGAGGAUCCGAGCGUUAUCCGGAUUUAUUGGGUUUAAAGGGAGCGUAGAUGGGUUGUUAAGUCAGUUGUGAAAGUUUGCGGCUCAACCGUAAAAUUGCAAUUGAUACUGGCAGGCUUGAGUACAGUUGAGGUAGGCGGAAUUCGUGGUGUAGCGGUGAAAUGCUUAGAUAUCACGAAGAACUCCGAUUGCGAAGGCAGCUUACUAAACUGCCACUGACAUUGAUGCUCGAAAGUGUGGGUAUCAAACAGGAUUAGAUACCCGAGUAGUC